rnacentral:rRNA from 1 species
AUUGAACGCUGGCGGCAGGCCUAACACAUGCAAGUCGAGCGAGCGGAGGACGGGUGAGUAAUGUCUGGGAAACUGCCUGAUGGCGGGGGAUAACUACUGGAAACGGUAGCUAAUACCGCAUACCAUCAGAUGUGCCCAGAUGGGAUUAGCUAGUAGGUGGGGUAAUGGCUCACCUAGGCGACGAUCCCCAGCUGGUCUGAGCGGAUGACCAGCCACACGGGACCUGAGACACGGUCCAGACUCCGACGGGAGGCAGCAGUGGGGAAUAUUGCACAAUGGACGCAAGCCGGAUGCAGCCAUGCCGCGUGUGUGAAGAAGGCCUUCGGAUUGUAAAGCACUUUCAGCGGGGAGGCGUUACCCGCAGAAGAAGCACCGGCUAACUCCGUGCCAGCAGCCGCGGUAAUUC